GCCAAGGGACGCCUCAAGGAGGAGACCGCCCGACGCUAUUUCCAGCAGCUCAUCUCCGCCGUCGCCUUCUGCCACGCCCGCGGCGUCUUCCACCGCGACCUCAAGCCCGAGAAUCUCCUCCUCGACGAACACGGCGACCUCAAGGUCUCCGACUUUGGCCUCUGCGCCGUCUCCGACCAGGCCCGCGCCGGUGACGGCCUCUUCCACACCUUGUGCGGCACCCCGGCCUAUGUCGCCC
rnacentral:lncRNA from 1 species